GGCCGUAGACCCGCGGAGAGGGAGUGAUCAAAGACAAAAUCUGCGAUGCUCAGAAAAAAGUCACGGUCUAAUAAGCCCUUCGUCGGCUCCCGGGACUCCCUCGGGCUCGGGCUGCCUGCUGUAGCUGGAGACCCCGACAGAGCACCGGCCCCCUGGCUGCCCGCGAAGCCAGACGCGGGGCGCCGGGUCUAGCGCAGUGGGCGGCGAGGCGCGGCGGAGGUGCAGCCCGCAGCCCUGAGCGGUACACGUUGCAUAACCGGCCUAAAGCCCCGAGCGACUCCAGGACCGCCAGCGGGCGGGGGAGGAAAUUACAAAAGCCCUGGCGUAAAAUUUAAAAAAAUGUGAACCUCAAAAGAAAAAAGGGCCUGCACGCAGAGCUCGGCGGAUUCCCGUGCGCUCCGGGCACGGAUCUUGGAAAGCUGCAAAAGUCACCAGAAAGAAACAGGCAAGCAAACAAAAGUCGUCCCCAAAAAAGAGAAGGGUUCCCUCUGGGCUCGUUCGGAGUCCCACAGGGCAACGAAGCGCGGGCAGCGGCUGCGGAGCCGGGCGGAGAUUAAAUAGCUUGACUUUUUCCUCCAUCAACAAGACCCGGAAAGGCAGAGUAACCCUGACCUUUCUUGAGAUCUCAAUUCUUGCAUCCCGAAGUGAAGAGCCCAAGACAUCACUUUGUCCUGUGAAGCCUCCUGUCUUUUACCACAGAGGCAUAGAAAUGAAUCUCUUCUAUCAAGAUAAAAACUACAAAUGAGUGUUUCCAUGAAAGUGAGAAUAAAGGUAAAGUUGAAAAUUUUACCUGGUUCUAGAAAUUUUGGAGAAAAGCAGCAGCUAUGCUGGGUUAAGAAGUCUUUUAAGAGGAAUGAUCUGUGGAACAAAUCUUUACAAAACCAGAACCUUCAAAGAGAGAAUGUCAUAUUUAAAAAAUGAUAUUUAAUGUUUCUAGGCUGAUUCCACACAUGAACCCCAUAUUCCAUGGAUGUGAAAUAUCUUUUUAAAAAUCCGUUCUUGUUUUGGUAUUCUAGACCCACAACAUACACUGAUAUAUAAUUCCAUAAAUCUAAAAUUUGUAUUAACUUUUCGUUUCACUCACCUGCUAAAUUUAAUUGGUGACCAUCUUAUUAAUUUCACCUCUGAAAUAAGUCUUGAACUCAUUCAUCUCUUUCUCUUUAUCAAGUUCCCCUGUUUUCUUCUGACUUAUAAUAAUUUCCUGAAUAAAUUCCCAAUCUACAGUUCUCUCAAUUUCUGGCUGAUAUUUUACUGUAACUAGAAUAAUCUUUCUUAAAGGCAACUCUGCUAAGGCACUCACCAUAUUACAUAUCAUGCAGUAGACCUUGAAAACCUACAUCUAGGAUCCCUAAACUUGGAUAGCCAUCAGAAUCACAGGAGGGAGGGGGCGGAACAAGAUGGCCGAAUAGAAACAGCUCCAGUCUCCAGCUCCCAGCACGAGCGACACAGAAGACAGGUGAUUCCUGCAUUUUCAACUGAGGUACUGGGUUCAUCUCACUAGGGAGUGCUGGACAAUCGGUGCUGGUCAGCUGCUGCAGCCUGACCAGCCAGAGCUGAAGCAGGGCGAGGCAUCACCUCACCUGGGAAGCGCAAGAGGGAAUGGAGUCCCUUUUCCUAGCCAGGGGAACUGAGACACACAACACCUGGAAAAUCGGGUAACUCCCACCCCAAUAUUGCGCUUUACCAAGGGUCUUAGCAAACGGGCACACCAGGAGAUUAUAUCCCACACCUGGCCGACAGGGACCCACGCCCACGGAGCCUCCCUCAUUGCUAGCACAGCUGUCUGUGAUCUAACGGCAAGGCAGCAGCAAGGCUGGGGGAAGGGCGCCCGCCAUUGCUGAGGCUUAAGUAGGUAAACAAAGCCGCUGGGAAGCUCAAACUGGGUGGAGCUCACAGCAGCUCAAGGAGACCUGCCUAUCUCUGUGGACUCCACCUCUGGGGACAGGGCACAGCUAAACAACAACAACAACAACAACAACAAAAAAGCAGCAGAAACCUCUGCAGAUGCAAACGACUCUGUCUGACAGCUUUGACGAGAGCAGUGGAUCUCCCAACAUGGAGGUUGAGAUCUGAGAACGGACAGACUGCCUGCUCAAGUGAGUCCCUGACCCCUGAGUAGCCUAACUGGGAGACAGCCCCCACUAGGGGCAGACCGACACCCCACACCUCACACGGUGGAGUACACCCCUGAGAGGAAGCUUCCAAAGCAAGAAUCAGACAGGUACACUCGCUGUUCAGAAAUAUUCUAUCUUCUGCAGCCUCUGCUGCUGAUACCCAGGCAAACAGGGUCUGGAGUGGACCUCAAGCAAUCUCCAACAGACCUACAGCUGAGGGUCCUGACUGUUAGAAGGAAAACUAACAAACAGGAAGGACACCCACACCAAAACCCCAUCAGUACGUCACCAUCAUCAAAGACCAG
ensembl:lncRNA